GGUGAGGUGUCCGAGUGGCUGAAGGAGCACGCCUGGAAAGUGUGUAUACGGCAACGUAUCGGGGGUUCGAAAUCCCCCCCUCACCGCCA
rnacentral:tRNA from 1 species